rnacentral:lncRNA from 1 species
GUGAAUCGUUCGUUAUGAAACGUAGACCAAACAAAGAAAGUUAUUUCGGUUAAAUUUUAAAAUAAAUUUUUCUCGCCCUUGACUUUCCUCGAAAUUUUCUUUGCCACCGACCGGACAGAAUCGACCCACUUUUCAAACUGCGUUGAAACGAAUAUUUUCCCCCUUUUUUUUCUCUCUUUCUGAAGUUCCUUCCCGUUGCGGGUCGUACAGGUAUGCGUACAAAUGCGAACAGACUUCCGUUGUCACGGGUGACAACGUUAUAAAGAACCCAACUUAGGACUCUCGUUAGUUAUACGUACCGUAUAAUAAAUUAACAGAACGCCACAAAGCCGACCGAGUUACGUUAGCGAGCGUUACGUUACGAGAAGAAAACCGCAUCUGUUUAAUUACGUUUUAUUCAAAUCGAUUUGUGUUUGUGUAACACGGACAGAUAAAAAAGAAAAAAAAUCCGAGUGCGUGUUACCGUAACGCGAUUCAUCACAUUUCGGUAAUAUUGAAUUGACCUUGAUGCGGUUGUGACAACAGAUGUUCGCCGUCGGGUCAACACACCGCCAAGUAUAUACGUUGCACGUUGGCAGAGCGCAAACCGAGUGCAGUAGUCGUAUAUAAUAAAACGGAGUCGACGUGUGGCUCGUCCGAAUAAAAUACGUUAAUGGAAAAACCUAACAUUAAUAAACGCAUUGUUUAGAAGUAUCGUGUAAUUUACUAUUAAUAGAGAUCGGCGCGUUUGUCUGUCUGUCUCGUUCGUUUUAACGAGGUCGAUGCGUAAUGGACGGCCCACUUAUGACCACUUUCUUCACCUUCGACCGUCCUGGAAGAUGACACCGGAAACACUAGCAUCUCUUUCCUGUCUCGUGCAGUCGGAAAGAAGAAAAAAACGAUUCCCACCCGCAAAGUUAAGCUCUCCCGCAGUCUGUGUAUCGAAAGCGAAAAUGUUAAGUAAUAAUUGUUUACCAUCGAUAAUUUAUUAGCGUAUAAACGACGAUUAAAACUUUGAAGAAGAAGUAAAUGGGACACUGAAUAGAUUACUAUAUUUAGAUAAACGAUAUAUAUAUGUGUGUAUUUUUAUUUUGUUUAGAAGAAAGAAAAUUUCGCAAGAUAAAAACGAAUAUCCUUAUUUAUGUG